UGCUYUUUGAAACCAAUAAAGAGUAAGACCUGCCCAGUGGAUUUUUUCUAAACGGCCGCAGAAUUUUAACUGUGCUAAGGUAGCAUAAUCAUUUGUCUUUUAAUUGAAGACCGGUAUGAAUGGUUUAACGAAAUUUUACUGUCUCUUUUGUACUAACUAUAAUUUAAUCUUAAAGUCAAAAAGCUUUAAUUUAAUAAAAAGACAAAAAGACCCUAUAGAGUUUUAUUUUUAUAAAUUUAAUAAUUCUGAUAAAAAUUUUGUUGGGGCAACUAGGAAAAAAUAAAUUUUUCCCUAAAACACACUAACAAUAAUCUAUCAUUUACUUAAUAACGCAAAACAAAUUACCUUAGGGAUAACAGCGUAAUUUUCUUUGAGAGUUCAAAUCGAAAAGAAAAAUUACGACCUCGAUGUUGGAUUAGAGCAACCUAAAAUAGAAAAAAAUUUUACGGGUAGUCUGUUCCACUAAWAAUUYUCUACAU
rnacentral:rRNA from 1 species